AUAGAACGCUGGCGGCAUGCCUUACACAUGCAAGUCGAACGGCAGCACGGGUGCUUGCACCUGGUGGCGAGUGGCGAACGGGUGAGUAAUACAUCGGAACAUGUCCUGUAGUGGGGGAUAGCCCGGCGAAAGCCGGAUUAAUACCGCAUACGAUCUACGGAUGAAAGCGGGGGACCUUCGGGCCUCGCGCUAUAGGGUUGGCCGAUGGCUGAUUAGCUAGUUGGUGGGGUAAAGGCCUACCAAGGCGACGAUCAGUAGCUGGUCUGAGAGGACGACCAGCCACACUGGGACUGAGACACGGCCCAGACUCCUACGGGAGGCAGCAGUGGGGAAUUUUGGACAAUGGGCGAAAGCCUGAUCCAGCAAUGCCGCGUGUGUGAAGAAGGCCUUCGGGUUGUAAAGCACUUUUGUCCGGAAAGAAAUCCUUGGCCCUAAUACGGUCGGGGGAUGACGGUACCGGAAGAAUAAGCACCGGCUAACUACGUG
rnacentral:rRNA from 1 species